GGGGAUGCAAGGCAUAGACAGUUGGCCUUUUGCUCUUGAUGCAUGCCGAGUAUGGACGUGAUCUCGUUAACUUUCGUUCACAUGUUAAUUGCAAAAUUGACUUCAAGCAAUACAGAAUCUCCAUACUUCGGUAUGAAAGAUUUCGCAUUCGCUCCAGCUUUCGCUUAACGCGUGCUGGUGUCCUGCUCAUAGACUUCCGAUAUAUGAGUCAGGGCAUAAUAUUAUCGGGAUAAGGGAAUACCCGUUCGAGUAUUUCACCAAAAUUUAGAACUCGGCUGAAAGAUAUUUGGCUCGCUUAAGAAUCUUUUAGCUCAAACAAAAAAGCGCGCUACGCAUGUAGACUUCCUGGCAUUAACCUUCUGCACCGGGGUUCGAUUCCCCGCAUCUCCACUC
rnacentral:tmRNA from 1 species